rnacentral:rRNA from 1 species
UACGUAGGGUGCAAGCGUUGUCCGGAAUUAUUGGGCGUAAAGAGCUCGUAGGCGGUUUGUCGCGUCUGCUGUGAAAACUCGAGGCUCAACCUCGGGCCUGCAGCCGAUACGGGCAGACUAGAGUGCGGUAGGGGAGACUGGAAUUCCUGGUGUAGCGGUGAAAUGCGCAGAUAUCAGGAGGAACACCGGUGGCGAAGGCGGGUCUCUGGGCCGAUACUGACGCUGAGGAGCGAAAGCGUGGGGAGCGAACAGG